rnacentral:rRNA from 1 species
AGGUUACGUCAAGACUCAGGGUUAUUAACCCUAGGCUGUUCUUCUCUACUGAAAGUGCUUUACAACCCGCAGGCCUUCUUCACACACGCGGCAUUGCUGGAUCAGGCUUGCGCCCAUUGUCCAAUAUUCCCCA